ensembl:misc_RNA 7SK 7SK RNA
GGAUGUGAAGAUGGCUGGCUGUGACACCUAUCGCUAUUGUGCCCUGAUGGCCAGGGCUGAAUUCACUGAUCUGUGUGCUGUAAUCGAGGCUCCUCUUUCAUUGCCUCAUCUAUGUCCCUCCUAAAACUGUGUCCUCCUCAUGUGGGAGAGUGCACUUGGUCAAAGGAGAUUACUUUCUCUGUUAGGGGAGGACUGGUCUUGAGUCAAAGAUAUACAAGCAUCCAGAAAUUCAAGAAAGGAAGAGGAGAAAGAGAAGAAGGGUAAAUAUGAAGGUGGAGUUC